rnacentral:misc_RNA from 1 species
GAAAUGCGAUACGUAAUGCGAAUUGCAGAAUUCAGUGAAUCAUCAAAUCUUUGAACGCAAAUUGCGCUUCUUGGAUAGGCCAGGAAGCAUGCCUCUUUGAGUAUCGUUUUCACCCCAGCUCGACUGCUUAUUUGUGUAACAACAAAUGAGUUUAAGUCGGAGAAUGAGUUUGUCUUGUCUGAAAAGAUAAGUCACUUUAAAUGCUGUGAGUUUUGAUUAACGUAUACAUCAGUUUAGUGUCUUCGCAAGAAGGCUUGAUUAGUGUUCUAAUCGCUGUUGUAAUGUGGAUAAAUCUUAUUUACAUUAUUAUGCAAUGAUUGGAGUAUUAGUUAAAG